UGGGGAAUCUUCCGCAAUGGACGAAAGUCUGACGGAGCAACGCCGCGUGAGUGAAGACGGCCUUCGGGUUGUAAAGCUCUGUUAUUCGGGAAGAACGAUUCGUUUGUGAACAAUGAACGGAAGUGACGGUACCGAAAGAGAAAGCCACGGCUAACUACGUGCCAGCAGCCGCGGUAAUACGUAGGUGGCAAGCGUUGUCCGGAAUUAUUGGGCGUAAAGAGCGCGUAGGCGGUAUGGUAAGUCUGUCUUAGAAGUGCGGGGCUUAACCCCGUGAGGGGACAGAGACUGUCAUACUGGAGUCGCGGAGAGGAAAGCGGAAUUCCUAGUGUAGCGGUGAAAUGCGUAGAGAUUAGGAAGAACACCGGUGGCGAAGGCGGCUUUCUGGACGAGCACUGACGCUGAGGCGCGAAAGCGUGGGGAGCGAACAGG
rnacentral:rRNA from 1 species